GAUGAACGCUAGCGAUAGGCUUAACACAUGCAAGUCGAGGGGCAGCACAAGGUAGCUUGCUAUCUGGGUGGCGACCGGCGCACGGGUGCGUAACGCGUAUGCAACUUGCCCUAUACAGGAGGAUAACCCGUCGAAAGACGGACUAAUACUGCGUAUGCUCACAACUUGGCAUCAAGUGGUGAGGAAAGAAAUUCGGUAUAGGAUAGGCAUGCGUCCCAUUAGCUUGUUGGUGAGGUAACGGCUCACCAAGGCAACGAUGGGUAGGGGAACUGAGAGGUUUAUCACCCACGAACGGACAGACGCACCGACCACCCUCGUAAGGCAGGAAUGGGUGAGGAAUAUUGGUCAAUGGGAGCCAGCCUGAACCAGCCAAGGCGCGUGAAGGAGGACUGUCUUAUGGAUAGUAAACUUCUUUGAUACGGGAAUAAGUAGAGUCACGCGUGACUCCUUGCACGUACCGUACGAAUAAGCCACGGCUAACCCCGUU
rnacentral:rRNA from 1 species